GCAUAGCAAGUACCAUCCAAUUCCUCAUGAAUUCAUUUUAUAUUAGGAAUCUCAGGCAGCAUGUACAGUCUUUUGUUAGAUUGUGUGAACCAUGUAUGAGAACACAUCCGAAUAUUCCACACAAAUCACAGCACGAACAUUUGCCCCCUCCGGCUGCUCCUUUUACACACUUACAGAUUGAUUUUACUCAUGUACCCAAAAUUGGUAAGAAACAGCAAUACUUACUGGUCAUAGUUGAUCAGUUUAGUAGAUGGCCUGAGGCCUUUGUGACAUCUAGGGAGGAUGCUAGGACGGUAGUGAAGAUUCUUGCUACUGAAAUUAUUCCCAGGUAUGGCUGCCCUCUGCAGAUUAACUCUGAU